UUUUUUUUUUUUUUUGCUGACAUGUCAAUGAACACAUUUUUCCUCAAACACGGGACAGACCAAGAGCAUCUGGCUCCACUGACACACGAUCUUCAGAACUGGACCAGAUCAGCUGUAGUGCUCUCAACGGUAGAAGCCUGAGGAUGGUUGAAAGGAAAGGAUGUACCACGGCAAUCUGUCAUCAGUGCAACUUCCAGCAAUCUUUGUAGUUAACAGACCGCAGUGGAUUUUUUUCCUCCCCAUGUAUUUACCUAAUCACUUUCUAAAUCCUGUUUCAUGCAAUACCGUGAAAAUGAUAAUCUAAUUCUGGUCUCUAAGACACAAAAUACAAAAACAAUAGGAGGCCCAGGAAAGAAUGAAACCAUUUUGCCAACAGAUAUUACAAAAACAGGCAACAAUUAUAGCACAUCGACGAAGAAAAUUACUAAAACCACUCAUUAUAAAAUAAGCCAGCAUUUCCUGCUGUGAAAAUGAAUUUGUUAUUUAGACCACUUCACUGUUUUUGAAAAAUCACCACCUGUAAUUGCUUUUCUAAGCUCGUGACAAGGGCAUUUCUCUUUUGGUGCCACGUCAAAUUAAAAGUGUGCCUUUUCAACUGGUCACACUGUCUAGGGUUAAAUAACAAAUCUUUCCAAACUCUUCAUCACUCAACGAUUUUUGUAUCAGUUAUGAAUGAGAAGAAAAAAGACAAAUGUUUCUAGGAUGUCACCACUCUUUGCCUAGCAGUGAGAAAUUCACUGUGAAGAUAUGCUUCUUGUUCUCUACUACAAUACCAACUUUUAUGUAUUUUGCAAUCCUUGUCCACUAUUUCUGCUGUAGUCUCUUGCAAAACGUUGAAAAUUUAAAGCUCUACAUUCACAUGUUUAUUGCCCUACAAUCUGAUUUACUAAAUAAAAGAGUAUGCCUGGGC